GUCUCUGUUGGGCUAUCAGUUAGUGCGUUCGGCUGUUAACUGAAGGGUUGGUGGUUCAAGCCCACCCAGGGACG
rfam:Danio rerio chromosome 4, GRCz11 reference primary assembly.